rnacentral:rRNA from 1 species
GACGAACGCUGGCGGCGUGCUUAACACAUGCAAGUCGAGCGGUAAGGCCCUUUCGGGGGUACGACGAGCGGCGAACGGGUGAGUAACACGUGGGUGACCUGCCCUCAGCUCUGGGAUAAGCCUGGGAAACCGGGUCUAAUACCGGAUAUGACUCCAUGACGCAUGUUGUGGGGUGGAAAGCCUUGUGCGGCUGAGGAGUGGGCCCGGCCGGCCUAUCAGCUUGUUGGUGGGGUGAUGGCCUACCAAGGCGACGACGGGUAGCCGGCCUGAGAGGGCGACCGGCCACACUGGGACUGAGACACGGCCCAGACUCCUACGGGAGGGCAGCAGUGGGGAAUCUUGCGCAAUGGGCGAAAGCCUGACGCAGCGACGCCGCGUGAGGGAUGACGGCCUCGGUU